GCAUUACAAAAUAUUGAGAAUCCAUAAUUCAAGACAUCAUGCCACAUGCAAAAUAUAUUAUGUGUUAAGUCAUGCAUUAAAAUAAUAAGAACAAGCAUGUCAAGGAUCAAAAUCAAUUCUUUUCAAAUAAACUCCCCCUAUUUAAAUAUAAUCUUGCAUUGAUUUCAUCCUUAAAUUGUGUUUUCAAGUGAUUUUAAAAAAAAUGACUUGAUU
rnacentral:lncRNA from 1 species